rnacentral:rRNA from 1 species
AAUUUGGACAAGCUACUAAGGGCGUAUGGUGGAUGCCUCGGCAGUAGCAGGCGAUGAAGGGCGUGGCUGGCUGCGAUAAGCCUCGGGGAGCCGUCAAGCAGGCGUAGAUCCGGGGAUGCCCGAAUGGGGAAACCCGGCGGGGGUAAUGCCCCGUCACCCCGAAAGGGGAGCCAACCCGGGGAAGUGAAACAUCUCAGUACCCGGAGGAAAAGAAAUCAACCGAGAUUCCC